ACACUUAUCUGGCAGGAAGAAUGCCAUGGUCAAGAAGGUGGUUUCCCUAGGGUGAGACUUUUCCAUAGCACACUUCUGUUGGGGUGGUCCCUGUGAUUUCCCCAAAUGUAGGAAACUUGACUGCAUAAUUCAUGGAAGAGGAUGAUUGCUUUUGUGCACUCCCCUA